rnacentral:rRNA from 1 species
GAUGAACGCUGGCGGCGUGCCUAAUACAUGCAAGUCGAGCGAACGGACGAGAAGCUUGCUUCUCUGAUGUUAGCGGCGGACGGGUGAGUAACACGUGGAUAACCUACCUAUAAGACUGGGAUAACUUCGGGAAACCGUAGCUAAUACCGGAUAAUAUUUUGAACCGCAUGGUUCAAAAGUGAAAGACGGUCUUGCUGUCACUUAUAGAUGGAUACGCGCUGCAUUAGCUAGUUGGUAAGGUAACGGCUUACCAAGGCAACGAUGCAUAGCCGACCUGAGAGGGUGAUCGGCCACACUGGAACUGAGACACGGUCCAGACUCCUACGGGAGGCAGCAGUAGGGAAUCUUCCGCAAUGGGCGAAAGCCUGACGGAGCAACGCCGCGUGAGUGAUGAAGGUCUUCGGAUCGUAAAACUCUGUUAUUAGGGAAGAACAUAUGUGUAAGUAACUGUGCACAUCUUGACGGUACCUAAUCAGAAAGCCACGGCUAACUACGUG